rnacentral:ncRNA from 2 species
UUCUAAAUAGACGAUGGAGUUCGCCAUUAACCGUCUUUUCGACUAAUCACUCCUGCCAGUUU